rnacentral:lncRNA from 1 species
UUUUCUUUACCAUCCACAUUCUUUUUGGAAUAUCUCAUCCAGGAAAGGUCUUUAGCACAGGCCAUCGUUCCUCUGCAGGUCAGUACAGCCUUAGAAGGAAACGAUAACCUUCUCGUCGGAUGAAGAGGUUAUUGCAGGAGGUUUCUGCAGCUUGACGGAAACCUUGCAGGGCCAAGGCUCCUGAGAUCUCCACACCAGAUCUGAGCUCCAGACUGGACCACAGUUACAGCUGCAUCUCCAGAACGACCGAACUGAACUUCACACUGGAGGAGCUUCAGGACCAUGCAGCGGUUCUCCCUCAUCUGAUCGUGGACCACAGGCCUUCAGUCCACCCAGUGUUCUCCUAUACUCUAUCCCAGGGACCAGCUUCACCGGUGGGCAGACUCUGCUUCCACAGAGACUCAGAGUUCCACAGAGUAUCACACUAUCACUCUGUGGUGGAUCCUCUGCUAGGAACAUCUUCAGAAGAGCUCCGUUCCAGCAGUCUGCAGCUGGACCAUAAGAUCAAGCAGCGGCUGUGGGAGGAGGUGCGCUGUCCGGUCGUGUUUGGAGAGGUCCAGCCUGAUGGAUGGUUUCAUUUCACAGAGACCUUCAGCGCACCCACUAGGACUAGGUCCACCUCACUUUGACCUGGACAUGUAUAUAGAAGGGUAAAUGGGUAGGUAGAUGGAUUGGUAGAUGGGGAAGGAGAUAGAUGGGUAGAUGGAUAUGUAGAUAGAUUGCUAGGUAGAUAGGUGGGUAGAUGGGUAGGUAGAUAUAUGGUUAGAUAAAUAUGUAAAUAGGGAGGUAGAUAAAUAGGUAGAUGGUAGGGAGUUAGAUGGGUAGAUAAAAAUGUAGAUAGAUGGGUAGGCAGAUAUGUAGAUGGAUAUGUGGAUAGGUGGGUAGAUGGGUAGGUAGAUACAUGGGUAGAUAAAUGGGUAAAUGGGGAGGAAUAUAGAUGGGUAGGCAGAUAUAUAGAUAGGUGGAUAGUUGUAUAAGUAGAUAGAUGUGUAGGUAGAUUGAUAUGUAGAUGGAUAUGUAUAUAGAAGGGUAAAUGGGUAGGUAGAUGGGUAAGGAGAUAGAUGGGUAGAUGGAUAUGUAGAUAGAUUGGUGGGUAGAUAAAUGGGUAGGUAGAUACAUGGGUAGCUAGAUAGGUAAAUAGGGAGGUAGAUAAAUGGGUAGAUGGGUAGGGAGAUAGAUAGAUGGGUAGGUAGAUGCAUGGGUAGAUAGAAAGGUAAAUAGGGAGGUAGAUAAAUGGGUAGAUGGGUAAGGCGAUGGUAGGGAGGUAGAUACAUGUGUACAUAGAUAGGUAAAUAGGGAGGUAGAUAAAUGGGUAGAUGGACAGGUAGAUAGUAGGGGUGGGCGGAUCGAUUUAAAAUAUUGAUAGUAUCGAUACUAACAUUGGUAUUGGGUAUUGAUCGAUACUUACGUGAUGAGAUCGAUUCUUAAGUUUCGGUUUCUCUUUGGUACAACUCCAGCCAUUUACAGAGUGGCCGACUGGCCGUAUAACACAGCUCUUCUCUCACUUCACUCAUGCUCUACACCCCUCCCCUUUCCUUCGCCACACCUCCCCCCUCCCCC